AGACAGGUAUAGAACCGAAGCAGUAGAGGCUGGAAUUCGCUAGAGAGAGGAUGGUUGGUGAAAAUCCUUGUUGGAAGGCUUUGAACUCGUCGGGGAGCUGUUUCGUAAUGGAAACCGUGAUCCUUGCGUUAAAGGGAAUGAGUGCUUGCCUUUUGGCAAGAAGUAAGGUGGUACCGCGUGCAAACGUCCUUAUC
rnacentral:ncRNA from 1 species